UACGUAGGGGGCAAGCGUUGUCCGGAAUCAUUGGGCGUAAAGCGCGCGUAGGCGGUUCGUUAAGUGGGAUGUGAAAUCCCCGGGCUUAACCUGGGAAUUGCAUUUCAAACUGGCCGACUAGAGUACGGUAGAGGGAGGUAGAAUUUCCUGUGUAGCGGUGAAAUGCGUAGAUAUAGGAAGGAAUACCAGUGGCGAAGGCGGCCUCCUGGAUCGAUACUGACGCUGAGGCGCGAAAGCGUGGGGAGCAAACAGG
rnacentral:rRNA from 1 species